CUAAAUGUCAAUCGUCAGCAUAUUGAUGAUUGAAUUUUGUAAAUGAAUUGACAAAUUAAUAAAGUGUUAUUUCGCAUUAUUCAUCAUUUCAUCUUCAAAUGAACUCUUAUAUGAUGAAGUCCUUAGGACUUAUGUUAUGAUAAAGGAGGAUUUAUCUUUGAGUCCAUAAACUUGUUCGCGACCAAAUGAUAUGUUGUUACUAGGA
rnacentral:lncRNA from 1 species